GACGAACGCUGGCGGCGUGCCUAAUACAUGCAAGUCGAGCGAGCUGAAUUCACUGAUCUCUUCGGAGUGACGUGUUGGACGCUAGCGGCGGAUGGGUGAGUAACACGUGGGCAAUCUGCCCUAAAGACUGGGAUACCACUUGGAAACAGGUGCUAAUACCGGAUAACAAUGAUGGUUGCAUGACCAUUAUUUGAAAGGCGGCGCAAGCUGUCACUUUAGGAUGAGCCCGCGGUGCAUUAGCUAGUUGGUGAGGUAACGGCUCACCAAGGCCAUGAUGCGUAGCCGAGUUGAGAGACUGAUCGGGCCACAUUGGGACUGGAGACACGGCCCAGACUCCUACGGGAGGCAGCAGUGGGAAUAUUGCACAAUGGGGAAACCCUGAUGCAGCGACGCCGCGU
rnacentral:rRNA from 1 species